ACAACAAACAUAGUCAUAUAAUGUGGUUGAUCAUGAAGGUUUUUGUCUUGCAUUUUGUUGUUUUACUUAUUCUCUUCGGUGUCUCGCCUACCCAAGCUGCUACUCAUAACUAUUCAUUUGUGGUCAAAGAAGCUUCAUAUACAAGACUCUGCAGUACCAAGGAUAUUUUGACAGUAAAUGGUCUAUUUCCAGGACCAACCUUACACCUUCGUCAGGGAGAUACCGCCUUUGUUCAUGUCCAUAACAAAGGAAAAGAAAACAUCACUAUUCACUGGCAUGGAAUUUUACAGCCAAGGUACCCAUGGUCAGAUGGUCCAGAGUUCAUCACUCAGUGCCCUAUCAUGCCUGGAAACUCUUUCAUCCAAAAGGUCAUAAUCACGGAAGAGAUUGGAACUUUGUGGUGGCAUGCUCACAGUGAUUGGUCUCGAGCAACAGUUCAUGGCGCAAUCAUUAUUUACCCCAAAAGAGGAGAUAGAUACCCGUUUCCUAAGCCUGAUGCAGAAAUUCCCAUCAUACUAGGAGAAUGGUGGAAGAGAAAUAUAACAGAUGUGGUGGAAGAAUUUUUACAUAAUGGGGGAGACCCUGCGAAGUCUGAUGCUUUCAUGAUAAACGGCCAUCCUGGCGAUUUUAAUUCAUGUUCAGUAGUACCAGAUACAUUCAAGUUGAAUGUGACUUCCGGAAAAACUUAUUUGCUCCGGAUGGUCAAUGCUGUCAUGAACAACCUGAUGUUCUUUGGCAUUGCAAACCAUACUCUUACCGUUGUGGGAACAGAUGGCAGCUACACAAAGCAAUUAAAGAGUGGUUACAUUGCCAUAGCCCCAGGACAAACCAUGGAUGUCUUGUUAGAAGCUAAUCAAAAACCUGAUCACUACUACAUGGCUGCUAAGGUUUAUACCAAUGUCACUGUUUUUUUACGACCAGAAUACCACCACGGGAAUAAUCCAAUACUUGGGAGAGUACAAUGCAACUUCAUCUCCAAUCUUCCCAAAUCUCCCAGCUGCCGAUGAUGCCAAUUCAACAUAUAACUUCACAGGAAGCCUUAAAAGCUUAGCAAGUCCAGAACAUCCUGUUCAUGUCCCAGAAAAUGUGACCACUAAUCUAUUUUUCACACUCUCGAUAAACAAUGUCUCGUGUGAACCAUAAUACAUAACGGGCCCGCAGGCAGCCGGCUAAGAGCUAGCGUUAACAACCAAAGUUUGGAAUUGCCCCAGCUCGAUAUACUUCAAGCCUACUACAAUCAGACUCGAGGAAUUUAUGACCCUGACUUUCCCCACUUCCCACCGUUUGUGUUCAAUUAUACAGCAAAUAAUCUUCCUGUAGAACUACGAUUGCCUAAUAUAAGUACCCAAGUUUUAGUUCUUGAAUAUAACUCCACGGUCGAGAUAGUAUUCCAAGGGACGAAUCUGGUUACGGAUAGAUCAUGCAUUUGCAUGGACACAGUUUCUACGUAGUUGGAUCAGGUCCUCAAAUCUUUGACAAUGUAACAGACCCUCAGAACUAUAACACUGAGGACCCCCCUUUUAUGAAUACAAUUGCUGUUCGCAGGAACGGCUGGACAGCUAUCCGAUUCAGGGCCAAUAAUCCUGGCGUGUGGUUCAUGCAUUGCCAUUUCGAGCGUCAUGUAAGCUGGGGAAUGGGAAUGACCUUCAUUGUUAAAAAUGGCACUGGCCCGGGAGAACAAAUGCUUCCUCCACCUCCAGACAUGCCACCUUGUUAGAUGCUGCUGUGCCAAAUGCCAAACUUAAUAAUAUGGUUACUUUGUGAAGCAAGUGAUGAAUGGUACAGAAUUGAAGAAAAGUGUGCUUUUAAAUUUUGUAUUCUUUUCUGAUUUUUGAAUGAUCAUAGAUAAAAGUUUCUAAUCUAGGUGUUGAAAUGUUGCAAUAAAUCGGAUUUUUUUUGAGUAAAUCUGUUUCUUUUUA